rnacentral:ncRNA from 15 species
UAACAAGGUCUCGCCUGUACAGCAGCAUGAUCCCUCCGUCGAGUUUUCAUGUACCGAAGGCCUUAGCCGCCCGAAAGGGUGCCCCCGCCGCGACGCGGCCGCCACGGGAGCGGGCCGCACCAAGGAACGCGGGGCUGAAAGCGCUAGUCCGACCGGCCGAGUGCCGAUCGGGCAACACCGUCAAAUUGCGGGGACUCCCUAACAGCUCUCGACCACCAAGCGGGCGCCCGAAAGGGGCCCGUGGCCAGGGUCACGACCUCGGGUACGGUAACAGCGUCGAGAGAUGAGGCCGUUCCCCCCCCCCACCCAUGGGUGGCCGGGGGGCGCGGCGGAAAUGGGUGAUCCGCAGCCAAGUCCUACGGCCGGGCAGCCAGCCCGCGCUACGGAUGCCGUUCACAGACUAAAUGGUGGUGGGUCCGGUGGCGCCAGCAGCGCGCGCCGGGCUUAAGAUAUAGUCGGGCCCCUGCCGAAAGGUGGGGGGGGACGCAGAGUCACCGCUCCGUAGGUGAACCUGCAGAAGGAUCAA